rnacentral:rRNA from 1 species
UACGGAGGAUGCGAGCGUUAUCCGGAUUUACUGGGUGUAAAGGGCGUGCAGCCGGGCUGACAAGUCAGAUGUGAAAUCCGCGGGCUUAACCUGCGAACUGCAUUUGAAACUAUUGGUCUUGAGUGCCGGAGAGGUAAUCGGAAUUCCUUGUGUAGCGGUGAAAUGCGUAGAUAUAAGGAAGAACACCAGUGGCGAAGGCGGAUGACUGGACGGCAACUGACGGUGAGGCGCGAAAGCGUGGGGAGCAAACAGG